rnacentral:rRNA from 1 species
GACGAACGCUGGCGGCGUGCUUAACACAUGCAAGUCGAACGGUGAACCUCUUCGGACGGGUUCAGUGGCGAACGGGUGAGUAACACGUGGCCAACCUGCCCCCGGCUCUGGGAGAACUCCAAGAGGUUGGGGCUGAUACCGGCGGAUCACCGCUUCCCGCGUGGGUGGUGGUGAAACGGGUUUCCGGCUGGGGGUGGGCCCGCGGCCGAUCAGCUUGUUGGUGGGGUAGUGGCCUACCAAGGCGACGACGGGUAGCCGGCCCGGGAGGGUGACCGGGCACCCUGGGCCUGAGGCACGGACCAGAGUGGAACGGGAGGCAGCAGUGGGGAGCAUUGCGCAAUGGGCGGAAGCGUGACGCAGAGACGUCGCGUGGGGGAUGACGGCCUUGGGGGUGUAAACCUCAUUAAGCAGGGACGAAGCGCUAGUGACGGUACCUGCAGAAGAAGCACCGGCUAACUACGUG